GUUUAUAAUAGUGCUUAGCAGUAUCGGGCCCCCAGUGAAAGCUGUUAUUGCAUGGAGCUAAAUCUGAAGAUAGUACAUUGCAGAGUAGUGUAAAAAGAAGUCUUAAAAAUGUAUAUAUAUGCCAAGGUUCAUUUCACCAAAACUGGGCAAGCACACCCUGACACUUACGAGGACCAGGGCAAGAAAACAGGUGGAUGCUCUCAGCGUCUUGGCCCAGACCCUGUGCAGCAUCAUGAGGCCCCACAUAUUCGCAUGUAGACGCCUCACUGGCCCUAUCCUCACUUCUUCUUCUACUUCCUCAGCCGCAGUCACUCCACAGGCCUCUGAGGACACACUGGCAGCUGGAUUGGCCCCCAAGAUGACAAGCUCUGGGGAAAAGCCCAUGCAGCCCCGGGGCCGGGUACUUGCUUCUGGGGCAGGGAAUUCUGAGGCCCCAGGUGUGUGGCCUAGAAAGAGGGGGUUCCAAGUAGCCAUCUUAGCCAGAGAAAGAUGAAGCCAGAGGAAGACCAAAAGCCCAGAGCGCAGGUCAGCAGCCCAAGGACCCGUAUCUAAGGGCAGGACUUAGCAGUUCUAUUGGGGAUCAACCCUGCUAAUGCAAUAUUCCAUCUUUAGUACAGAUGGGAUUAUGAUAAAGCACUUAUGUCAUAAGAGAGGCAUUGCCAUAAUAGAAAAGGUAAGAGAUUGGGGAUCGGGACCUCUGAAUUACGAUCCUAGCCACAAAAUCUAGGAUUAUGAAUUAUUCUUAAUAGAGGCUUCCCCCGCUAUCCUAAAGUAGAGCGUUCCUUUGAAAGCUUUUAUAAGGUGAAUGGGGGUGUAAAGCAAGGAAGCAAUUACCAUUCAUUUAUAUGGGAAAAAUUUUUGAACGUUCCCAGACCAAAAAAACCUACUGAAUCAAACCAAACAACACAUAAAACCUAAAAUAACACUAACAUAAAGUAAAAGCAGGAAUGAAAUGAUAAAUGCACAGCGUGUAUAAAGUAGAAAUAAUGCGUGUACAGCGUAGUGUCACUUAGCAGAACCAGGAAUGCAGAGAGCACGCGGGAAGGCUGAGAGGUGGUGGUGGAAAUGAUGGACUGUCUUUAGAAAUGCUGACAGUAAAGCCAGAAGCUACCAUACUGCAAAAUGACCUCACGGAAACUUGGUGUGGACCCUGCUGCUUAGGACCCAGGCUUUCAAAAUGAGGAAACAUCUUUGUCUUUCUCUUCUUUGUUCCAAGGAGAUUUCCCCCACCUCCUCUUACUGGUCCUCGGCUCUCUGGUUUGGGGGGAACUUGUCAUUGGAAACAGCAGCUGUGGAGGUGAUAACGCAGAAUGACACUCCUGAGCAGUCUCUCCUUCAGUUGCUUCUCCUUGUUCUCCGUGGUCUACUUCUCUAGAAAAACUGCCUGACCCAUGAUUCCUUUUAAAAUAUGGAACUAGAAGUCAACCACACACUUUUCAAAUGUAGGAUGGUCACCUGAAUUCGAACUGCUGUACGAUAAUCCACCAGAUUUGUAACGAAGGCCUCCAAUGCUCAGCUCUCCCGGAGCCUCCAGUCUCAUAGGCAGCUCUUGGGCAUCAUUAGAUUUAGCUGGGAAGUGGCCCGAGGUGUCUACCUCUCAUUUCCCCUGCUCCAACCCUAGACCAAACUUCAUCUUCUCUCCUCUGGAUGACUGCAAUAGUCCCCUUGCUCGUCUCCCACUGGCACUAUUGGCUCUCCCAAUCCGUUCUCCCUACAACAGCCAGAGGAACUCUUUCAAAACAGAAUUAUAAUUAUACGUUUCAGUGGUUUCCUAUUACUCACAAGAAUUCAUAAUGUUACCUGUGAGACCCACACAUGGUCUGGCCCUCUCCUCCUCUCUAGCAACAUCUUGCAUCAUGUUCCACCCCACCAUUUGUACCAGCCACAGGGGCCUUCUUCAGUGAAUGAACAUGUCAUGCUCAUUCCUGUCACAGGGCCUUUGUAUGUCUUUCUGCCUGGAAUACUCUUUGCCCUGGUACCCUCCACUCAUCCUUCAGCUCUCAGCUCAGCAGUCAGAUCUUUGAGAAGGUCUUCCCUUACUGCCCUCUCUAGGUGAACGACUUCUAUUUCACACCUUUAUGACACCAUAUACUCCUCCAUCAUAGCACAUAUUGUAAUUAAACUUUUACAUUUAUUUGAAUGGUUUUAUAUUAAUAAUUACCUCCUCAUGAGACUAAGCAACAUGAGAAGAACCAUAAGCUCCAUAAGCGAUAACUAUGUCUGUUUUGUGAAUCAUUAUAUACACAGUGCCCAGGACGGUGUCUGUGACUUGAGUGCUUAGUAAAUAUUUGUCAUGCUGUAGAUUCAAAGUACUGCAUCCCAUUCCUGAGUGUCAGUUUUCCAUUUUUCAACCAAAGUUUGUUCGCUAAGAGGGUCCCGUGAUUACCAUAUUUGGGAACUACAUAUAUCCCAUAUUUUCCCCUAUCAGUAUAGAGGACCAGGUCUCCUUUCCUAUAAGAUUAAAGACUGAUUUUCUAGUUUCAGGAGUAGAACUAAAAGCACAUUCUUAUUCCCCUAAUAAGUGAUCUUUUAUGAAAUAACAGAUUCACACACAAGCUUUAAUGAUGCCUCCUGUCUCCUCAAG
rnacentral:lncRNA from 1 species